GUGAGGAAUUUUCCGCAAUGGGCGAAAGCCUGACGGAGCAAUGCCGCGUGAAGGAUGAAGGCCUAUGGGUUGUAAACUUCUUUUCUUAGAGAAGAAUAUUGACGGUAUCUGAGGAAUAAGCAUCGGCUAACUCUGUGCCAGCAGCCGCGGUAAGACAGAGGAUGCAAGCGUUAUCCGGAAUCACUGGGUUUAAAGGGUACGUAGGCGGUUAAUUAAGUCAGUAGUGAAAGACUGUCGCUCAACGACGGAUGUGCUAUUGAUACUGGUUAACUUGAAUCAGGUUAGAGUUGGCGGAAUGGGUCAUGUAGCGGUGAAAUGCUUAGAUAUGACUUGGAACACCGAUAGCGAAGGCAGCUGACUGAGCCUUGAUUGACGCUGAGGUACGAAAGUGUGGGUAGCGAACAGGAUUAGAUACCCCUGUAGUC
rnacentral:rRNA from 1 species